rnacentral:ncRNA from 1 species
UUAAAAGCGAUGAGAAAGAAGAGUAAAUCGCCGCAUUCGUCAAGUGAGCCAGCGGUAGUGGGAAGCCGGCCGACCCUGGACGAUUGAAAAACACUUUCUCGCAAUGCCGCUGACCUAAAUGGUCCCGACCAGAGUAGGCUCAGUCGUCCCCGGUACGUUACCUCGCCGGUAGAACAUGUUCGUGUUCGAAAAGAGUGGUCUGAGUUUUCACUCGGACAACUUGGGUGGUACCGCGGAAUAAAGCCUUUCGUCCCUUAG